GAUGAACGCUGGCGGCGUGCCUAAUACAUGCAAGUCGAGCGAACAGAUAAGGAGCUUGCUCCUUUGACGUUAGCGGCGGACGGGUGAGUAACACGUGGGUAACCUACCUAUAAGACUGGGAUAACUUCGGGAAACCGGAGCUAAUACCGGAUAAUAUUUCGAACCGCAUGGUUCGAUAGUGAGAGAUGGUUUUGCUAUCACUUAUAGAUGGACCCGCGCCGUAUUAGCUAGUUGGUAAGGUAACGGCUUACCAAGGCGACGAUACGUAGCCGACCUGAGAGGGUGAUCGGCCACACUGGAACUGAGACACGGUCCAGACUCCUACGGGAGGCAGCAGUAGGGAAUCUUCCGCAAUGGGCGAAAGCCUGACGGAGCAACGCCGCGUGAGUGAUGAAGGUCUUCGGAUCGUAAAACUCUGUUAUUAGGGAAGAACAUACGUGUAAGUAACUGUGCACGUCUUGACGGUACCUAAUCAGAAAGCCACGGCUAACUACGUG
rnacentral:rRNA from 1 species